rnacentral:rRNA from 1 species
AGAGUUUGAUCCUGGCUCAGGACGAACGCUGGCGGCAGGCUUAACACAUGCAAGUCGAACGCUCUCUUCGGAGAGAGUGGCAGACGGGUGAGUAACGCGUGGGAAUCUACCCAGUACUACGGAACAACAGUUAGAAAUGACUGCUAAUACCGUAUACGCCCUCCGGGGGAAAGAUUUAUCGGUAUUGGAUGAGCCCGCGUUUGAUUAGCUAGUUGGUGAGGUAAUGGCUCACCAAGGCGACGAUCAAUAGCUGGUCUGAGAGGAUGAUCAGCCACACUGGGACUGAGACACGGCCCAGACUCCUACGGGAGGCAGCAGUGGGGAAUAUUGGACAAUGGGCGCAAGCCUGAUCCAGCCAUGCCGCGUGUGUGAUGAAGGCCCUAGGGUUGUAAAGCACUUUCAACGGUGAAGAUAAUGACGGUAACCGUAGAAGAAGCUCCGGCUAACUUCGUGCCAGCAGCCGCGGUAAU